AUUCCAGCUCCAGUAGCGUAUAUUAAAGUUGUUGCAGUUAAAAAGCUCGUAGUUGGAUUUCUGGCUUUAUAGAACUGACCCGCCACGUUAGUGUGUGAGUGUCGGCUUCUAUAUGCCAUCCUUCCACAGAACGUUUCUACUCUUGAUUGAGCCGGAUUCGCAAUGUGGAACUUUUACUUUGAAAAAAUUAGAGUGUUCAAAGCAGGCUUACGCUAUGAAUACAUUAGCAUGGAAUAAUAAUCUAGGACUUUGGUUCUAUUUUGUUGGUUUCUAGAACUGGAGUAAUGAUUGAUAGGGAUAGUUGGGGGUGCUAGUAUUCAGCGGCCAGAGGUGAAAUUCUUGGAUUCGCUGAAGACUAACUUAUGCGAAAGCAUUCACCAAGGAUGUCUUCAUUA
rnacentral:rRNA from 1 species